rnacentral:rRNA from 1 species
AGAGUUUGAUCCUGGCUCAGAUUGAACGCUGGCGGCAGGCCUAACACAUGCAAGUCGAGCGGCAGCACGGGUACUUGUACCUGGUGGCGAGCGGCGGACGGGUGAGUAAUACCUAGGAAUCUGCCUGGUAGUGGGGGAUAACGUUCGGAAACGGACGCUAAUACCGCAUACGUCCUACGGGAGAAAGCAGGGGACCUUCGGGCCUUGCGCUAUCAGAUGAGCCUAGGUCGGAUUAGCUAGUUGGUGAGGUAAUGGCUCACCAAGGCGACGAUCCGUAACUGGUCUGAGAGGAUGAUCAGUCACACUGGAACUGAGACACGGUCCAGACUCCUACGGGAGGCAGCAGUGGGGAAUAUUGGACAAUGGGCGAAAGCCUGAUCCAGCCAUGCCGCGUGUGUGAAGAAGGUCUUCGGAUUGUAAAGCACUUUAAGUUGGGAGGAAGGGCCGUUACCUAAUACGUGAUGGUUUUGACGUUACCGACAGAAUAAGCACCGGCUAACUCUGUGCCAGCAGCCGCGGUAAUACAGAGGGUGCAAGCGUUAAUCGGAAUUACUGGGCGUAAAGCGCGCGUAGGUGGUUCGUUAAGUUGGAUGUGAAAUCCCCGGGCUCAACCUGGGAACUGCAUUCAAAACUGUCGAGCUAGAGUAUGGUAGAGGGUGGUGGAAUUUCCUGUGUAGCGGUGAAAUGCGUAGAUAUAGGAAGGAACACCAGUGGCGAAGGCGACCACCUGGACUGAUACUGACACUGAGGUGCGAAAGCGUGGGGAGCAAACAGGAUUAGAUACCCUAGUAGUCC